UGUCUUCUGGGGUCUGUGUCAGCACGCCUGGACCAGGUCAGAACAAUGGCCCCCACUAAUGUUUCAGUCUCCAGAGAGGACCCUCCUCUCACCAAGAUGCUCCCAGAGCCCACCAGGAAACUCAGCUAGAUUCAAGCUCACGCAGGAAGAGCGCUGAGUGAGAGGCAGCCGGCCACAGGCCCCGUGCUACUUGCAGCAUUUUUACUCGCCUCGUUUCCUCAUCACGGCAAUUUGACGAGGUUGCUUCGGUUCACAUUGUCUAUGGUGAGUGACUGAGAUGACGUCCCUGAGGCCGCCCAGCUGGAAACAGCCACGAGUCAAGCCCAGGCCUGGUUCCAAGUUCAGUUCUUCCUCAUGUGGAAAGAACCGUUUCCCCCCAGCUGCUGGGGCACCCGCCCUCUGCUUCUUCACUUGGUGGUGUUUUUAUUUAUGAACAGCCUUAAAGCCUUUUAUAUAUAAAUCACACGAAAAUGAAAUGUUCCCUCAAGAAACAGGUGACCUGGCUGAGUCCACGACGCAACUGGCACGUUCACCUGCAGACCCUGCUGACAGACGCCCGGGGUCUCAGAUCCACACCAGCGACGCCGUCCAGUCGUGUAACCCAGAGUCUGCAGCAGGUCUGCCCAACCCCCGUGGGUCCCUCAGCGGCCUGGGGAGACGGAAGGACUGCAGGGUUUCCAGCCUCUCUUUAGAACACAUUCUUGGCUAAAGAGUUGAGACCAACAAGAGGAGGAUUGUGACCCACAAGCUCUCAGAGUUAGACUUCUGCUUCUCAAAAUCCAACCAUUCCUUCAAGCCUUCCAGCCUAC
rnacentral:lncRNA from 1 species